CCUACGGGGUGCAGCAGUGAGGAAUAUUGGUCAAUGGACGCAAGUCUGAACCAGCCAUGCCGCGUGCAGGAAGACGGCUCUAUGGGUUGUAAACUUCUUUUAUAUGGGAAUAAAAUGUUCCACGUGUGGGAUUUUGUAUGUACCAUAUGAAUAAGGAUCGGCUAACUCCGUGCCAGCAGCCGCGGUAAUACGGAGGAUCCGAGCGUUAUCCGGAUUUAUUGGGUUUAAAGGGAGCGUAGGUGGAUUGUUAAGUCAGUUGUGAAAGUUUGCGGCUCAACCGUAAAAUUGCAGUUGAAACUGGCAGUCUGGAGUGCACACAGGGAUGCCGGAAUUCAUGGUGUAGCGGUGAAAUGCUUAGAUAUCAUGAAGAACUCCGAUCGCGAAGGCAAGUGUCCGGGGUGCAACUGAUGCUGAGGCUCGAAAGUGCGGGUAUCAAACAGGAUUAGAUACCCCUGUAGUC
rnacentral:rRNA from 1 species